UCUACUGCACCCUGCUUAGCAGCCUGCAUGACUCUGCAGUUAAUUUUUGCAGAUACUGUAAUUCCCUCUUAAAUUUUUUUGGCAGCUCACUCUGCUGAAAAAGGUAUAUUUGGAAAUUGCCUUUCCUGCAGUUUCACAAUAUCUGUGAUUAUCCAAUUUAAGCCUGAGGAUCAUACUCAAAUUGAAUUUCCAUACCUGACUACUAGCUCCUGUCUGCACUUCCACGUCUUGUGGGUUCUUCAUGAAGCAGCAAAUUUUGGAUACAAAAUUCUGAAAAGACAUCACGGAGGAAUAGCUAAACUCAAAUCAGCACAAGCGCUGAGUGAAAACUGGACACAAACAUUCCCACCAAGUCUCCUAAGUUUUCUAGUCUGUGCAGGGAUCCUUAAAGGUCCAAAAAUGACAGGAGGGUCAUCAACAUUCCCAACAGAGAGAAAAUGCCUGGAAAAUUAUAAUUUCAAUGAAUUUUGCCAUUUUUUCUGAAGACAAAGUUGUCCUGCAACAGGAAUUCUCUGCCACUUGGCUGAGCAAGGAGUUCAGAAAGAGAAUAAUAUAGUCCCAGUGGAUUUUGGAAAGUGAAGAUCCCCUGAGUCUGAGAUCUAAAAGAAGUAAAGUGGACACACAAUCCAUCCUCUUGAACUUUGAGGGUCUUGUGGGGACAUUAUGAAGAGCUCAUCUUCAAAGGAAAAGCAAAGAGGUCAUUUUUACAGACUUCUAGAUAUGCAGGAAGGAAAACAACCAUUACUUUCAGUACAAAAGGUGUCUUGUAAAUCCACACUGGGGCUUUCUUCUCCCUCUUGGAGCUUUCUGCUGGCUCUAAUGGUACAAUUAAGUACCUAAGUUAAGCAGCUAAAAGUUCUCUUCUGAAAUAGAUCAUGAAAAAUAAAUAAAAGCAUUGUGUUUUCCCUCUGAAUAUUUUGGAACUUCUGCCUCAUUUUAAUCUCAGCCUGAUUUAGUUUCCUGAUGUGUGUAAUGGCAUGCAGCCAUGCAGCACUGCUGAGAGCUCUCUCCAGACCUGCACUGCAGCACUGCUCGUGGUACAUGAGAGUUGAGAGCUCUGCUGAGUAUAGCUCUGCUGAGCUCUCCCACUAUAGCUUCAUGAUAAAAUAAUUCAUCACUUCUUUUGGGCUUCUCCUUUUUGUUUUGAUGAGGGUGAAUAAACUGGUGUCUGUCAAUAAGGAAUCCAAAAUCCCUGCCAUAGCUCACUGGUUUUUUUCCUGUUCAUGUCUGAAUCUUCUUCCUGCCUGCCAGGUUUAAUGUAAAGUUUAUUUUAUUCAGGCAAAUACAAUCCAGUAUUACAGAAUUUUAGACUAAAAGUACCCGCUUUAAAAUAUUGAUGAAUAAUCUUCACUGUAAUUUUAUAAGCUUUUUUUUUUUUUUGGCUAUGUAUAAACAUAUGUUCAGUGAAGAUAAAGCCAAGGAAGUGAGGACAUUUGUGUCUCACUGACAGAUUUUCUGCUGCAGUGAUCUUUCCAUAAUUUAUUUCUUUAUUUUUUGCCCCACAAAUAAGCAUCCAUGAUAACAAUAAACAGCAGUCACUAUCUACAUUGGACAUCUCACCUGCAUUCUAGACUUUUUGACUGAAGUGAAUGACUAAAAUUAAACUGAAAACCUUCUCCCCAUGAUCCCUCCUCCCCAGACUCAACUUCCCUCCUAAUUCUUCUGCCUCUUUCCCUCUAAGCAGCUCAGAAGGCUGGGGAACAGGGGUUGUGUUUAAGCUAACACUUCAUGUCUGCUGCUCCUUCCUCCUCACGUUUUUCUUCUGUUCCAUCAGCAGGUGCCCUUCAUGACUCCCAGUCGUUUGCAAACUUCUCCAAUGGGGGCACUUCCCACAGGCUUCAGUUCUUCAAGAGCUGUUUCAGCAUGGAGCAUUUCCAUAGGGUACAAUCCAUUGGGAACAGGCUGCUCCAGUGCUGGUUCCCAAAGGGUCACAAGUUCUGCCAGGAACCCUGUCCUGUGUAGGCUCCUAUCCACAGGCACAGCUCUGCCAGGAUCCUGCUUCUGCAUGGGCCCUCCAAGGGUGCAGCUUCCAUCAGGGCACAUUCCCUUUCUCCAGUGUGAGGCCCUCCAGGAAUAUUCCAGUGCUCUGCUGGGGCCCCAUGGAAGGAUCCAGCUGGAACUGGCUCUGAUGUAGGGCAGCCCCUGGUGUCUCCUCAGAGGUGCUCCUUGUGCAGCCCCUUCCUCUGCUCCCAAAACCUUGCCCUGUAGCCAAACACAGGUUUACUGUGAAUAGGCAGAAACCCUCAGACUCUCAGACCAGUGCUUUAAUAUAAGCCCAGAAAAUCUUUUUGUGUUUUCUGAGUGACUCCAACACAGGACUUGAAGAGAUCAGUUUGUGCUGUGCUUUAAAAGCUACUCAGUUGUGCCAUGCAUUUACACUGUAGGUGCAUGUACCUAUAGGUAAACACAAUUAAACCAUUGUGAGUUUGAAACUUGUUACAGGCAUCAAUAAACACCUUAUUUAGAUGUUUAGGGUAUACCUAUUCUUUGCAGAUAAGUAGAAUGUUUGUGCCUUAACAAGAGAGAACAGAUGACUUUUUUGGAUGUAGACCUCCAGUUAGAAAGAUUAAUUUCCAUGUCUGAACCAGCUUGAUAGCCACUAGUGUAGGGGAUGAUCAUAUCACUUGUGGAUAUACAAAGGCCCAUUUGUGACUUGGACUACUUAAAUAAAUGUUUCUGACGUGAACAAGAAACCUGAAAUGUUUCUGAAAUAUACCUUAUAUAAAUGUUUCUGAAAUGUACAGAUACUCAGCUGUAAAUUCCCUUUAAAAUCAGGACAGAAGGAAUUUUCUGCGGUUAAGGUUUGAUUGGCUGCUGUAUACAAAUGUACAAAAUUGCCAGAAAGAUUUUUUUUGUAAGAAACUGCUGCUCAUAUUACAGCACAGUCAAUUUUGAACUGGUAGAGCUAACAUAAAUGCUCUCUUCCACAGAGUAAGCACUUUCAGGAAGAGAUGUUCCUGUGUAAGUAGAGAUCUCCCAACAUGCCAUUUAUGCUUCUCCUUGGUUCAACAGUAUCCCAAAGCGAUAAUAUUAUGGAUGUUUCUCUUUAAUCCAAGAUCUAAAGCAUUAUUUCAAUUUAUUUUCACAUUUCCUUGGCAAGUCCAAGAUUUGUGUGGAAUUAAUGUCCUUUGCUGUAAAGUGGUUCCAUUUCUCCCAGUGGAGCAGGAAGACAUAUGGGGGCUUAUUGAGCAUGUUUUCUUUUGACAGAUUUGCAAAGCCACGGAGAAUGCCUUCACUGGUUGUUUUCAGUUUGGCUUUGCUGGAGCUCUCAAACAUACCAGAGAAAAGGCAAUUAUAGCUGUGAAGCUCUGGUGAGUUGUAUCUGUCUUUUGUUUAAUCAAACAAGUGAAUUUCUACAGUUCGAAGAGAACAACUGUAUUGGAAAACAAUCCCUCUGGCUACUUAAUUUCCUGUCACACCUGCCAGAUCCUGACACUUUGCCCUGUCCAGAUUGUUCAAUGAUUAUUCAAAAAAUGAAACUUAAUUCUCUUACCCAGAUAUGAUAUGUCAUUUCUGUGAGGAAUCUUGUACCUCUGACAUUUCAAUUAGAGGGAUGAAACAUCAACAUCUGACCUUUACUCUGGAAAAAUGGAAAACUCUCAGACUCUCAUGUUCUGUUUUUUCUCCUUAGCCUUUCCACAUAAAAAGAACUUCUAUAAUUUUCACAGAUAUUUCUAGAAUCAAGAGUAACACCAUCAAUGGAAUUUUGCAGCCCAAGCUCUGCAGUCCUUGUUUUUCAAGGUGACCUAGGCUAUCUGGAAGAGCUUAUUGGGCCUGAUACAAAACUGUCAGGAGGCACCUGCCUUAUGAAGGUAGUGGGAGGACAGGAACCUAUCCUAGAGCAGCUUGGGUAAUGAUAAACUAGAAACUCUCACUAUUGAACAGCUACAGGCCUAUGAUACCUGUUUUUUAUACUAUUAUCAGAUUUGGUUUGCUCUCUCUAGCCAUCAAAACAUUUAGUCUCCACUGGUCUAUUCCACAUAUAUUAUCCUCACACAAGAAGAGUCCUUAACUGAGUUUCUAAAGGUGCUCAGAAGAAAUAAUACUCAGAGUCUAACAUUUGCUGAAGGUGGAGCAAGAACAGAACUCCCCACUUGCUGCUCUGAGCUCCAGGAGGCACUCCAGGAUUCCCAAGGAGAACAAGGGGUGGAAAAUUUCCAGUGCCUGCACCUGAGGAAAAUGACUGCAUUGAAUAUGGCCCAUUGCAAUGAGUGAAGGACGGUUUUGGAAGCCUCUAUAAGAGAAAAUAUCCACUCGCAAUCCGAUAUUGGUUUGUUACUGUUACUUUGAAAACAUUACUUUUUACUGGCAGUGUUAAAAAAUUUCCAGUACCAAAUAAUAACUGCAUUUUAAGGAUUCACAGGUAAAAUUUUUGAUCUUUCUAAAAUAAUGUAUCAGAAUUCCAGAUAAGUUUGGUGAAUUAGGUUGAUUCUUGAAAUUAAACAAUAACUCAAAGAGAUGAAAGCCCAGCUAAGUCCAGCGAAAUGUGCCAGUCAUAUCAUUCUGCCUACCCUGUACAAUGAGAAAGAAACAUCCAUUGUCAUAUUUAUUUUUAAAAUACUAGAAGUUUUUUCUUGCUGAUGGGAUCCUUCGGACAUAAUAAUCUUUGCACUUGAGAAACUGGAUAUAUUUCCUUCAAGCACCAUCAGGUCGCCCUAUUACAUUCCUCAUUUAAUUUACCUGUUAUUAUGCCCUGCACCUAGUGGGUAACCUUGGAUGAUCUUCUUUGUAUAUUUGCACACUGCAGUCCCAAAACAGAUGAAGCUGUAUACUGGCUUGUAUGUAAAGCAGACAAAACAUAGCAAGCAGGGAUCAUUUAUGAAAUCAAAUUUAACAGAGCUGGUUAAUGUUUGGAUGCUGCCUGACUCUGUGCUGCUCAUUGCAGUGUGCUGUUUUUCAUGAAGUAUUUGCUUAGGAUCUGCAAUGCAGUAAGAAUCAUUUUCACUUGACUGCAAUUUUCUUGACAUUUGUUUUAAAUCCCAACACAUUUCUCUCCAUAUAUAUGGAGAAAAUGUUUCCAACAUUCUGUCGAGAGUACAACUUAGAGGUGUAUCUAGGGAUAUUAAAAAUCUUAGUAAAUGGAUCUAAAUAGAUCAGAUAAUCGUUUUUGACAGAAAGAGUCCACCAAAGACACAGAGCAGUUUUGAGAUUCAUAUUAUUCAUAUCAUGCCCUCAAAUGAACCAUUAUAAUGAGUUUUCUAAUGGCAGAGCAUGCAAAGCAGUUCUUGCCCCCAAACGAUGUGAAGUUGUUAUAUUGCAGCAUGGAAACCCCACCAGAUUGUUGUACUGUCUAAAUGUAAAUGAUUUGCAAACAUAAAUAAUGAAAGUGUCUCUGCUUUGUAAAUUUAUGGAAUAUGCUGACUCAGAUUAAAAUAGCACUAUGGUAAAAGAUGAUAGAUUGUUUCUUUCCUGAGAAUGUAAUCUUUUCCACUGCUUUAGAAAAAAAUAAAAACAGAAGCCUGUGCAUUUGUUCAAACUAGUUUAUACUUAAGAGCUAAAUAUUAAAAAGAAGAUACCAGAAUGUAGUAAUUCAAUGAAGCAAUUAUCUUUCUUUACAUACAUCAAAUGAAGCCUCUAGAGUGCUUUAAGAUUGCAGUCCAGUUGAGAAUUCAAUGAGAUUCAGCUGGAGAAUGUGCUGGAGUAUGAGACACAAUUUUGCACCUAGGGGAGGCCUUAGAAGAGCAGAUAAUUUAAGAUAUCUCUCAACAAAUCUAUUUUUCACUUUUCACAGAUGCUCAGCUGCUCACUAAAUAGUGUGAUUCCUUCAGCUACAGGACACUUCAAUAAAAUCAGUUUCAUAUUCUAUCACCAUGAUGUGAGUGUAGCAAGCACAGAGGUUGGGGGGGAGGGUCAGAGCACCUCCUGCACUCAAACAGCCUGGAUGAUGCAGUGAACAAAAAUUGGUAUCUGGACUAGUAGGGUGAUUCAAAGUGAAUUGCCUGAGUGACCACUUAAUUCUGCAGCACAAUCCUUGGAGAGACUUUGGUUUCAGAUUGAUAAUCUCCAACUUCAAGAACAGUACUUAAAGCCUGAUUAUAAGAUCUACAGCAAUGUGUUGUGUCACUUCCUUCCUCUACAGAGAGAAAAAAAGGCCACAAAACAGUUUGCCUCCUUUCACUGAAGCCUCAGUGUCAGGUCCUCUUCAAAAGCACAUGCAUGCACAGACAGGGAGCAGUGGAACAGCUUGUGAAAGAGCUCAAGGCUAACUGCACUCAUCUGCUAUGGAUCGAAUAAACCUGCAAUCAAAAGAAAUUCAAAUCCCUGUUCAGCUGUUCUUCAAAGCCUGUUAUACAAAGGUGGAAGGGACAGGAAAACUAUCCUUCAUCCUUCUCUCUAAGCCUAAGGGACACUGCAACCAAGAAUGCAAGAGUCACAGCACAGAAGAAAAGCAAAUAAGAAACUGUGGACACAACCUAGUAGGUAGGGCAAUGAGCUAGAAAGGAGAGGAUAUGAACAAUUUUAAGGAAGGCUUUAUUGACUUUGUUUUACCUAUGUACUUCCCAAUAGAAGUUAUUGCAAUAAAAUUCCUAAUUUAUUGCCGCAAA